rnacentral:rRNA from 1 species
AGGCUUAACACAUGCAAGUCGAGCGCCCCGCAAGGGGAGCGGCAGACGGGUGAGUAACGCGUGGGAACGUACCCUUUACUACGGAAUAACGCAGGGAAACUUGUGCUAAUACCGUAUGUGCCCUUCGGGGGAAAGAUUUAUCGGUAAAGGAUCGGCCCGCGUUGGAUUAGCUAGUUGGUGGGGUAAAGGCCUACCAAGGCGACGAUCCAUAGCUGGUCUGAGAGGAUGAUCAGCCACAUUGGGACUGAGACACGGCCCAAACUCCUACGGGAGGCAGCAGUGGGGAAUAUUGGACAAUGGGCGCAAGCCUGAUCCAGCCAUGCCGCGUGAGUGAUGAAGGCCCUAGGGUUGUAAAGCUCUUUCACCGGAGAAGAUAAUGACGGUAUCCGGAGAAGAAGCCCCGGCUAACUUCGUGCCAGCAGCCGCGGUAAUACGAAGGGGGCUAGCGUUGUUCGGAAUUACUGGGCCGUAAAGCGCACGUAGGCGGAUCGAUCAGUCAGGGGUG